ACAGAAUUCUAUCCUGCGGACUUGAAGCCAAGAGUGCUGUGAUUGGAUAUGCAGCAUUAUUGCAUCAUUACACGACAAAGCAUUGGUUUUAUGACACGGGAUGUAAUUUUUCUGGCUUUUAGAGAGCUGUAGUCGAUCCCUAGAUAUUCUUUAAAUUCACAAGGGCUUUGCCACCUAUUAUAAAGCAAUGGAAUAUAUGUUGACACCAAAUUUUGUCAGGUUCAGUGUUUUUCUAUAAGAAGGCUCGGGAUUUUUCAGAGAAAGUAUGUUCAGACUUGCAUGGAGAGAGGCUUUAGUUGUACAAUGUAAAAUACUGACGAUUUUUCAUUGUUGGGUAUUAUUUGGACAAUGUUUAGCUACUUAAGAUAUUAUAGUUAAUCAUGAUAUUUUGUUAGGAAGUUUUUGGUAAUGCCUAUUUUUAAUUUUUUUAAUGAAAUUCCUUCUUCAAAGGCUGCACAAGGCUUUGAUGUUCACAGAGAUCAUAGCAGCUAAAGGAUCUUCUUUCAAAGCAUUGCUGCUGUUUUAGGUUUGCCUUCUGUAAAUCUACAUCCCCAAGAGGAAAUAUUCAGAAGUUGCUUUCUGUAGAAGGAGAGACAAGACCUACAAUCAAUCUCAUCUUUUGCAUUUGCUCCCUGGCACUCAGCAGAGGACCAUUGUGACAUGCCCCUGCAUCGCUGGAUUGGAGCCAGCAAAGCUGAAGCUUGUAGAGCUGAAGUCCCUCAGACCCAACAACUCUGCUUUACUUAGUGCUGUGUCUGACUCAUGCAUAUGAGUGAAGGCUCAUUGCAUUACCACCUUUGGUGCAAUUCGGUAUCACAAAAUGAAGGAUGGAGGUGGCUGCAGCGUUCCUUUAUGGUGAAUAUGGCUGGGACUGGUGCUGCCAACGCUUCAUCCGUAUCUUCCAUCAGU
rnacentral:lncRNA from 1 species